UACGGAGGGUGCAAGCGUUGCUCGGAAUCACUGGGCGUAAAGCGCACGCAGGCGGCUAGAUAAGUCGGGUGUGAAAGCCCGGGGCUCAACCCCGGAACUGCACUCGAAACUGUCUAGCUUGAGUACGGGAGAGGGAAGCGGAAUUCCUGGUGUAGAGGUGAAAUUCGUAGAUAUCAGGAGGAACACCAGCGGCGAAAGCGGCUUCCUGGUCCGAUACUGACGCUCAUGUGCGAGAGCGUGGGGAGCAAACAGG
rnacentral:rRNA from 1 species